AAAAGAAACCAACAAGGAUUCCCCUAGUAACGGCGAGUGAAGAGGGAAAAGCUCAAAUUUGAAAUCUGGCGGUCUCAGGCCGUCCGAGUUGUAAUCUAGAGAGGUGUUUUCCGUGCCGGACCGUGUACAAGUCCCUUGGAACAGGGCGUCAUAGAGGGUGAGAAUCCCGUCCAUGACACGGACUCCCGGUGCUCUGUGAUACACCUUCGAAGAGUCGAGUUGUUUGGGAAUGCAGCUCAAAAUGGGUGGUAAAUUCCAUCUAAAGCUAAAUACAGGCGAGAGACCGAUAGCGAACAAGUACCGUGAGGGAAAGAUGAAAAGAACUUUGGAAAGAGAGUUAAACAGUACGUGAAAUUGUUGCAAGGGAAACGCUUGAAGUCAGUCGMGUCUGCCGGGACUCAGCCUCGCUUUUGCUUGGUGCACUUCUCGGUGGAUGGGCCAGCAUCGAUUUUGAUCGCCGGAAAAGGGCGGGAGGAAUGUGGCAGCUUGCUGUGUUAUAGCCUCCCGUCGUACACGGUGGUUAGGAUCGAGGAUUGCAGCACGCCUUUGGUCGGGGUUCGCCCACGCCACGUG
rnacentral:rRNA from 1 species